rnacentral:rRNA from 1 species
CAGUCGCCGCGGUAAUACGUAGGGUGCAAGCGUUGUCCGGAAUUAUUGGGCGUAAAGAGCUCGUAGGCGGUUUGUCGCGUCGGCUGUGAAAACCUGGGGCUCAACCCCGGGCCUGCAGCCGAUACGGGCAAACUAGAAUUCGGUAGGGGAGACUGGAAUUCCUGGUGUAGCGGUGAAAUGCGCAGAUAUCAGGAGGAACACCGGUGGCGAAGGCGGGUCUCUGGGCCGAUAUUGACGCUGAGGAGCGAAAGCGUGGGCAGCAAACAGGAUUAGAUACCCCCGUAGUCCCUGUCUCUUAUAU